GGAAGGCAGAGUUAGGAGACACCAUGAAGCCGCCGCUGGAGAUAGACGCUGAGACUUUGCUGGCAGGCCACGACCUCAUGGUGAUAUACAGAUUAAUAGAAAUCAAUUAAAUUAAUAUGAUUACUGAACUUUAGCUAUGGAGAUACAUACCUGCCACUCCCGAUUAUACCUGGACAGUGAAGAUCAAGCCUGCCCCAUUCAACAUGAAAUAGUCUAAUGAUAGCACCACCCCACCCUUUCCAAUCCCUGACUGUUUAUCAGUAAUAAACAAAAGAGGAGGACUGUAAGAGCAGGUCCGGUCCCUAGGAGCUCCAGCUGCCAGGGUCUCCCCACAGAGCGCAAUGGACAAAACCAACAGCCCCAGCCCGAGACACAGGCAUCCAAGCUCCAUCCUACAGAGCAAAAAGCCCAAGCUCAGAACGUGAAAACCCGUAAUCCCUGCCCGAGACAGCUCCACCUGGAAAAUUUUGCCCCCAAGAAGCCCUGCAUAAAGCCUGCCUGCUGUGCAGUAUCUGCUGCUUCUCUCUUGUGUCUUUCCUAUUAAAUCUGUGUGAGGUUC